UGCUGUCCAGCUGGCCUUGAACUUCUGGACUCAAGCAGUCCUUCCACCCCAGCCUCCCAAGUAGCUGGGACCCAGCUGCAGGCCGCCAUGUCCUGCCAAGACCAGGUUCUUCCCUGGGGUAGUUUGUAGCCUGUAGAUGCUGAGACAGACAGAAGCCACAGUGCCGCAUGGUGGGGACAGUGGAGGGUAGCUGUGGAAUUGUGUGCCCAGGAGCGAAGCCCAGCUGCAAGGAGCAGCACCAAGCCCAGUUCUGAAGGUCAGGUGGAGAGACGGUCUAAAACGGGUACUGCCAGGUCACCAAUGAAUCAGAUUGGGGGGACUCUCCUUCACUACGCGCCCUUCCGUUCUGCAAGGUGUCCGCCAUACCCCCAUCCUCCUGCCAUUCACAACGUGACUUUGACACUCCUCUGUGACGGUCUUGACCAGUGAGAGUGGUGAAGCGCUACCAUGUGGUUUCUGAGGCAGAACUAGAACAUACCACGCACUCUUGCCCCGUUCUUCCGGGGUGUCUACUUUUCCAACCCAGCGCCAUGUUGUUAAGAAGCCCAGUUGGCCCCGCUGGAGAGACCCCAGGAGAAGCCAGUCGCAGAGGUUCCUGUUGACAGGCAAACAGCAGUUGUCACCAGCCACCAGCCAGAGUCCCAGCUACGGCCCAAGCCAUGUGUUCCUAUCCAAAUUCCUGACCCACAAUAAAACGGUUCUUUCCCACUAA